UCCUACGGGAGGCAGCAGCUAAGAAUCUUCCGCAAUGGGCGCAAGCCUGACGGAGCGACGCCGCGUGGGUGAAGAAUGCCGAGAGGUUGUAAAACCCUUUUCUCACAGAAGAAUAAUUCCCUGAGGUAAUGCGGGGGAGAUGACGUUAUGUGAGGAAUAAGCACCGGCCAAUUACGUGCCAGCAGCCGCGGUAACACGUAAGGUGCGAGCGUUGUUCGGAAUUAUUGGGCGUAAAGGGCUCGUAGGCGGCCUGCCAAGUCUCACGUGAAAGACCGGGGCUCAACCCCGGGGACGCGAGGGAAACUGGCAAGCUUGAAUCCUGGAGGGGGUACUGGAAUUCCUAGUGUAGGGGUGAAAUCUGUUGAUAUUAGGAAGAACACCGGAGGCGAAGGCGAGUACCUGGCCAAGGAUUGACGCUGAUGAGCGAAAGCGUAGGGAGCGAACAGGAUUAGAUACCCUGGUAGUCUACGCCGUAAACGAUGUGCACUUGAUGGUGGGGCCGUCCGGUUUCACUGUCGUAGCUAACGCGUUAAGUGCACCGCCUGUGGAGUACGCCGGCAACGGUUAAACUCUAAUGAAUUGACGG
rnacentral:rRNA from 1 species